UACGUAGGGGGCGAGCGUUGUCCGGAUUUAUUGGGCGUAAAGAGCGUGUAGGCGGCCAGGUAGGUCUGCUGUGAAAACUCGAGGCUCAACCUCGAGACGUCGGCGGAAACCAUCUGGCUAGAGUCCGGAAGAGGAGAGUGGAAUUCCUGGUGUAGCGGUGAAAUGCGCAGAUAUCAGGAGGAACACCGAUUGCGAAGGCAGCUCGCUGGGACGUUACUGACGCUGAGACGCGAAAGCGUGGGGAGCAAACAGG
rnacentral:rRNA from 1 species